UUUCCAGCCCUGGCCCCAGACCCUGCAGCCACAGAGAUGUUGAUGCCUAAGAAGAACCAGAUUGCCAUUUAUGAACUCCUUUUUAAGGAGGGAGUCAUGGUGGCCAAGAAGGAUGUCCACAUGCCUAAGCACCCGGAGCUGGCAGACAAGAAUGUGCCCAACCUUCAUGUCAUGAAGGCCAUGCAGUCUCUCAAGUCCUGAGGCUAUGUGAAGGAACAGUUUGCCUGGAGACAUUUCUACUGAUACCUUACCAAUGAGGGCAUCCAGUAUCUCCGUGAUUACCUUCAUCUGCCCCCGGAGAUUGUGCCUGCCACCCUACGCCGUAGCUGUCCAGAGACUGGCAGUCCUCGGCCUAAAGGUCUGGAGCGUGAGCGACCUGCAAGACUCACAAGAGGGGAAGCUGACAGAGAUACAUACAGACGGAUGCUGUGCCACCUGGUGCUGACAAGAAAGCCGAGGCUGGGGCUGGGUCAGCAACCGAAUUCCAGUUUAGAAGCGGAUUUGGUCGUGGACGUGGUCAGCCACCUCAGUAAAAUUGGAGAGGAUUCUUUUGCAUUGAAUAAACUUACAGCCAAAAAAAAAAAAAAAAAAAAAAA